UUUUUAUUUUUUUAUUGCAACAUCUCCAAUCUAGAUUUUAGCAUGUAAACAAGAUCCAUAUAAUUUAUCUUGUAUAUUAUUAGUUAUUUAUAUUAUCCAUCUAGACUCCAUAUCAAUUAGCCACCUCCGCUUCUUGUAAAGAUCUUUAGAUAUAAGAUUUAUUUCAAAACCAUGGUCAAUUAAAGCAACAACUAGUUCUUCUAUAUCUCUUAUUUUUACCAAUAUUUUUGUAGUUGUCCUUGUUCAAUGUUUUCAAGUAUAAUGGCUUGAAGCUUCUAAUUCCUUAUCA
rnacentral:lncRNA from 1 species